ensembl:misc_RNA Y_RNA Y RNA
GGCUGGUCUGAGGGUAAUGAAUUAUUUCAAUUGAUUGUUCAGUCAGUUACAGAUCAAACUCCUUGUUCUACUCUUUGCCUGCUUCUCACUACUGUACAUGACUAGUAAAA